ensembl:ncRNA K03E5.6 ncRNA
GAGCCAUCUGAAUCUCUAUGGCUCGUGGCGGUAUAUCUCUUGCUCUCACUUGAUUCCCGUGAAUCUUCUGGCCAGUGAUUAGAGAGUGCUUCAAUCAGGGAGUCAUGGGAGAGAGUAGCAGCAGGCCCUCCUC